GCCCUUGGUGGCACAGUGGUUAAAUGCCUGUACUGCAGUCACUCACUCACAAACCACAAGUUGCUGGUUCAAUACCAGCCAGGGGCU
rnacentral:tRNA from 1 species